AAAUAAAGACAGCAUUUUAAAUUUAAUUUGUUUCGCUUUGAAAGUUUUAAUAGAUACAAUUGUGUCCACCAAAAAAGACGAAGUGCUUGUGUUAUUGUAGCCUAGUCCGCACGACUAUGAACAGUGCAGCAUUUGGCCACAAGAGCGCGAGCCUGAGCCACACCAGAUGAGGGGAAGGUGACAACAUUCGCGUGCCUUUUAGUCCGAUAGAUUGUGGGUAAAGUAAUACAUUCCAUUCCAAACACUGUCAAAGCCACACCGGAGGUUGUCAACAGUUUACUUCAGCAUCUCUCUCCGUCUUGCACGAUGAUACCCGACAACCAAGAUAUCAGACACACAGUUGGUUUUUAUUUCAUUUUUCUGUCGUUCGUUCCUGUCAACAUUGUCACCGGCAGCACAAGACCAGGCUCCCAGAACCAGGAUUCAGAGGAAGUCCUCUAUGACAGCCAGCUAGGUGAGUCUCAUUGAUUAUUCUCCAUGCAUCCAGAAAUGGUUCAAUAGAAAGGACCACUUUUAAAGGUCCAGAAAGCAGGAAUUUAUUCAGCUGUUUGCUCAUCGAAUCUUCUAAAAUGUCUCACUUGAUUCAACCAAUAUUGCAGACCGUAUGAUUGCACUGUACAAUACCCUCUUACUUGUUGUUAUACGACAAUGUACAAAAUAAAAUUGAAACAACGGAACUGCACACUUCCUGAAUCAGGAUCGCAUAAAUAUGUCACAGAACAGACAUUGCUUUCUGUGACCAUGACGAUUCAAUAAAACAAACGUAUUUGCAGAAAAGCCUGAACUCUUUCU
rnacentral:lncRNA from 1 species